GAUGAACGCUGGCGGCGUGCCUAAUACAUGCAAGUCGAGCGAACAGACGAGGAGCUUGCUCCUCUGACGUUAGCGGCGGACGGGUGAGUAACACGUGGAUAACCUACCUAUAAGACUGGGAUAACUUCGGGAAACCGGAGCUAAUACCGGAUAAUAUAUUCAACCGCAUGGUUCAAUAGUGAAAGCCGGUUUUGCUGUCACUUAUAGAUGGAUCCGCGCCGCAUUAGCUAGUUGGUAAGGUAACGGCUUACCAAGACAACGAUGCGUAGCCGACCUGAGAGGGUGAUCGGCCACACUGGAACUGAGACACGGUCCAGACUCCUACGGGAGGCAGCAGUAGGGAAUCUUCCGCAAUGGGCGAAAGCCUGACGGAGCAACGCCGCGUGAGUGAUGAAGGUCUUCGGAUCGUAAAACUCUGUUAUUAGGGAAGAACAAAUGUGUAAGUAACUAUGCACGUCUUGACGGUACCUAAUCAGAAAGCCACGGCUAACUACGUG
rnacentral:rRNA from 1 species